UCCUACAAUAAUGAAGGUAAGUUUCAAUUUCAGCAUUCUUGAAAAGAGGGAUCUAUCAAGGGGGCGCUGGCAAAUAGAUCCAUAGACGACUGAAGAUGGCAUAGGGAGGAUACAGGUGUGGGAAAAAAGGAUGAUUUGCUGGGUUCCUAUGGAUUGGUGAGAAUCUCCAAGCCUUCAUCCUUCAACUUCAAACCUUGAAAAAGGAUC
rnacentral:lncRNA from 1 species